UACGUAGGGUGCGAGCGUUGUCCGGAUUUAUUGGGCGUAAAGAGCUCGUAGGCGGUGUGUCGCGUCGGCCGUGAAAACUUGCAGCUUAACUGUGGGCGUGCGGUCGAUACGGGCAUCACUGGAGUUCGGCAGGGGAGACUGGAAUUCCUGGUGUAGCGGUGAAAUGCGCAGAUAUCAGGAGGAACACCGGUGGCGAAGGCGGGUCUCUGGGCCGAAUGACUGACGCUGGAGGAGCGAAAGCGUGGGGAGCGAACAGG
rnacentral:rRNA from 1 species